CCCCGUCACCUAAAAAACAGUGUUUCACUCAUACUGUCACGUCCUACAUGGAAUGGCCAAUACCAGUAUUUAGCUAUUAGCUUGUCUCCAGUCCAAUAAGGGUUGUUUGUUGUUAUGUCUAAAUAGUCUUUGGUUUGAAGAGGCUGAGGAAGGAAAUGUUACCUGAGGAUGAAGAGAACAAUCCACCUACCGUGGAGUACAAUAACCACAUGCGGAGCAAUGCCGUAACGGAAUCAAAUUCCUCUGUGGAACAGUCAGAACUGACGCUAGAGCCUGAUGUCAUCUCCCCCUACACGUUCAACAGAUGAGCCUAUCCUACACUGACAUCUGCUGGACAGAAACCAGUUCUCUCUUCCUCAUCACCGUAGACUGUUCUGUUCAUGGAAUUUAUAGUACAUUUUUACUACUUAAUUUUAUGAAAUCACAUUGUAACCUGUUUGUUAUAAAUAUGGUUCAUUCUAAUCUCUACGUUAUAAAGCAUUUUAUUAAUUCUACCCAUUUGUGCAACCUAGUCACUAAAGUGUUUGAUGAGACUAUUAUUGUAGUCUAGUAGGUCUACUGUGUAGUCUACUACGUUCUUUUAAACCACUCCAAACAAGAAGUUCCCUCACAGGAAAAAUAUAUUCUAUCUAUGAUUUCAUUUUGCAUGUCUGCUGCUUUGUUGAAAACAAUUAAACAUUUUACAUUGAGAAUGUGAAGGCAAUAUACACUAUGUCAAUCAUGAAUGAUCCACAUGUUAAAAUAACUGUCAUAUUUGUUUUAAACUCUGGCUGGAUUCCAGUAAGAAUUACACAUCAUUUUGCAAACAGGCAUAAUGUGACUUGCAAGCCUGGUGUGGCCUGUAAACUAUGCAUUUGAGACCACUGUAUUUGGGUAAAACUAGUAGUGAUGUUCAAUUUCAUACCGGAGCAGUUAACUUCAAAGCAGUGCAACGAUGCCUGUAACAUUUUAAUCAGAAGCACGUUAUCAAU
ensembl:lncRNA